UCUAAUAUGGCAGAUUAGUGCAAUAGAUUUAAGCUCUAUAUAUAAAGAUUUUCCUUUUGUUAGAA
rnacentral:tRNA from 1 species